rnacentral:rRNA from 1 species
CCUACGUGAGUCAGCAGUGAGGACUAUUGGUCAAUGGGCGCGAGCCUGAACCAGCCAAGUAGCGUGAAGGAUGACUGCCCUACGGGUUGUAAACUUCUUUUAUAAAGGAAUAAAGUGAGGCACGUGUGCCUUUUUGUAUGUACUUUAUGACUAAGGAUCGGCUAACUCCGUGCCAGCAGCCGCGGUAAUACGGAGGAUCCGCGCGUUAUCCGGAUUUAUUGGGUUUAAAGGGAGCGUAGAUGGGUUGUUAAGUCAGUUGUGAAAGUUUGCGGCUCAACCGUAAAAUUGCAAUUGAUACUGGCAGUCUUGAGUACAGUUGAGGUAGGCGGAAUUCGUGGUGUAGCGGUGAAAUGCUUAGAUAUCACGAAGAACUCCGAUUGCGAAGGCAGCUUACUAAACUGCCACUGACAUUGAUGCUCGAAAGUGUGGGUAUCAAACAGGAUUAGAUACCCGUGUAGUC